rnacentral:rRNA from 1 species
UUGACCUCAAAUCGAGUAGGACUACCCGCUGAACUUAAGCAUAUCAAUAAGCGGAGGAAAAGAAACUAACAAGGAUUCCCCUAGUAACGGCGAGUGAAGAGGGAAGAGCUCAAAUUUUAAAUCUGGCGUCUUUGGCGUCCGAAUUGUAAUCUAGAGAAGUGUUUUCCGUGACGGACCGUGCAUAAGUCUCCUGGAAUGGAGUGUCAUAGAGGGUGAGAAUCCCGUAUAUGGCACGGACUCCCGUUGCUCUGUGAUACACUCUCGACGAGUCGAGUUGUUUGGGAAUGCAGCUCUAAAUGGGUGGUAAAUGCCAUCUAAAGCUAAAUAUUGGCGAGAGACCGAUAGCGAACAAGUACCGUGAGGGAAAGAUGAAAAGCACUUUGGAAAGAGAGUGAAACAGUACGUGAAAUUGUUGAAAGGGA